AAAGCAUCUAAGUGCGAAGCCAGCCGCAAGAUGAGAACUCCAUUGAGGGUCGUCAGAGACGAUGACGUUGAUAGGAUGCAGGUGUAAAGACAGCGAUGUCAAAGCCGAGCAUUACUAAUUGCCCGAACACUUUCUUUAG
rnacentral:rRNA from 1 species